rnacentral:rRNA from 1 species
UCAAGCGAAUAAGCGCACACGGUGGAUGCCUUGGCGGUCAGAGGCGAUGAAGGACGUGGCAGCCUGCGAAAAGUAUCGGGGAGCUGGCAACAAGCUUUGAUCCGGUAAUGUCCGAAUGGGGAAACCCACCCGCUUGCGGGUAUCCUGCAGUGAAUACAUAGCUGCUGGAAGCGAACCUGGUGAACUGAAAUAUCUAAGUAACCAGAGGAAAAGAAAUCAACCGAGAUUCCGUAAGUAGCGACGAGCGAACGCGGACUAGCCCUUAAGCUGAUUUGGUUCUAGGAAAACGCUCUGGAAAGAGCGGCCAUAGAAGGUGAUAGCCCUGUAUCUGAAAGGGCCAUUUCAGUGAAGACGAGUAGGGCGGGGCACGUGAAACCCUGUCUGAACAUGGGGGGACCAUCCUCCAAGGCUAAAUACUACUGACCGACCGAUAGUGAACCAGUACCGUGAGGGAAAGGCGAAAAGAACCCCGGAGAGGGGAGUGAAAUAGAACCUGAAACCGUGUGCGUACAAGCAGUAGGAGCUCCGCAAGGAGUGACUGCGUACCUUUUGUAUAAUGGGUCAGCGACUUACUGUUCGUGGCAAGCUUAACCGUAUAGGGGAGGCGAAGGGAAACCGAGUCUGAUAAGGGCGCAUAGUCGCGGGCAGUAGACCCGAAACCGGGUGAUCUAGUCAUGCCCAGGGUGAAGGUGCGGUAACACGCACUGGAGGCCCGAACCCACUCCCGUUGCAAAGGUAGGGGAUGAGGUGUGAUUAGGAGUGAAAAGCUAAUCGAACCCGGAGAUAGCUGGUUCUCCUCGAAAGCUAUUUAGGUAGCGCCUCAUAUGUAUCCUCUCGGGGGUAGAGCACUGUUAUGGCUAGGGGGUCAUCGCGACUUACCAAACCAUUGCAAACUCCGAAUACCGAGACGGACUGUAUGGGAGACACACGGCGGGUGCUAACGUCCGUCGUGAAAAGGGAAACAACCCAGACCCACAGCUAAGGUCCCAAAUUUUGUGCUAAGUGGAAAACCAUGUGGAAAGGCACAGACAGCCAGGAGGUUGGCUUAGAAGCAGCCACCCUUUAAAGAAAGCGUAAUAGCUCACUGGUCGAGUCGGUCUGCGGGGAAGAUUUAACGGGGCUAAGCACAGAACCGAAGCUUGGGGUGCAUAACUUUGUUAUGCGCGGUAGAGGAGCGUUCCGUAAGCCGUUGAAGGUGGAUUGAGAAGUCUGCUGGAGGUAUCGGAAGUGCGAAUGCUGACAUGAGUAACGAUAAUGCGGGUGAAAAACCCGCACGCCGAAAGCCCAAGGUUUCCUUGCGCAACGUUAAUCGGCGCAGGGUGAGUCGGCCCCUAAGGCGAGGACGAAAGUCGUAGUCGAUGGGAAGCAGGUUAAUAUUCCUGCACCUCGCGUAAGUGCGAUGGAGGGACGGAGAAGGUUAGGUGUACCAGGCGUUGGUUGUCCUGGGGAAAGGCGGUAGGUUUGGAUCUUUGGCAAAUCCGGGAUCCUUUAAGACCGAGCACCGAGACGAGCCUUUAUGGCGAAGUCACUGAUACCACGCUUCCAGGAAAAGCUCCUAAGCUUCAGCUUACGCAGACCGUACCGUAAACCGACACAGGUGGGUAGGAUGAGAAUUCUCAGGCGCUUGAGAGAACUCGGGUGAAGGAACUAGGCAACAUGGCACCGUAACUUCGGGAGAAGGUGCACCCUUUUUGGUGGCUCGUGCGAGCUAUAGCUGAAGAGGGUCGCAGUAACCAGGCCGCUGCGACUGUUUAUCAAAAACACAGCACUCUGCAAACACGAAAGUGGACGUAUAGGGUGUGACGCCUGCCCGGUGCUGGAAGGUUAAUUGAUGGGGUCAGCCGCAAGGCGAAGCUCUUGAUCGAAGCCCCAGUAAACGGCGGCCGUAACUAUAACGGUCCUAAGGUAGCGAAAUUCCUUGUCGGGUAAGUUCCGACCUGCACGAAUGGCGUAACGACAGCGGCGCUGUCUCCACCCGAGACUCAGUGAAAUUGAAAUCGCUGUGAAGAUGCAGCGUUCCCGUGGCAAGACGGAAAGACCCCGUGAACCUUUACUAUAGCUUUACACUGAACGUUGAGUUCGUCUGUGUAGGAUAGGUGGGAGGCUAUGAAACCAUGGCGCUAGCUGUGGCGGAGCCAUCCUUGAAAUACCACCCUGUCGUGCUUGACGUUCUAACCUGGGCCCAUUAUCUGGGUCGGGGACCGUGUAUGGUGGGUAGUUUGACUGGGGCGGUCUCCUCCUAAAGAGUAACGGAGGAGCUCGAAGGUACGCUCAGCGCGGUCGGACAUCGCGCACUGUGUGCAAAGGCAUAAGCGUGCUUGACUGCAAGAUCGACGGAUCAAGCAGGUAGGAAACUAGGACUUAGUGAUCCGGUGGUUCUGUAUGGAAGGGCCAUCGCUCAACGGAUAAAAGGUACUCCGGGGAUAACAGGCUGAUACCGCCCAAGAGUUCAUAUCGACGGCGGUGUUUGGCACCUCGAUGUCGGCUCAUCACAUCCUGGGGCUGUAGUCGGUCCCAAGGGUAUGGCUGUUCGCCAUUUAAAGUGGUACGCGAGCUGGGUUCAGAACGUCGUGAGACAGUUCGGUCCCUAUCUGCCAUGGGCGUUGGAGAUUUGAGAGGGGCUGCUCCUAGUACGAGAGGACCGGAGUGGACGAACCUCUGGUGUUCCGGUUGUCACGCCAGUGGCAUUGCCGGGUAGCUAUGUUCGGAAGCGAUAACCGCUGAAAGCAUCUAAGCGGGAAGCGCGCCUCAAGAUGAGAUCUCCCGGGGCACAAGCCCCCUGAAGGAACCAUGUAGACUACGUGGUUGAUAGGUCAGGUGUGUAAGUACAGCAAUGUAUUGAGCUAACUGAUACUAAUGAUCCGAGAGGCUUGACCAU